CCACGAUGGUGAUGCGGAAUUGAAAAUGCCGGUGCAGAUGGGACGAUUGACUCGUCUUCAAACUCUGGGGUUUUUUAAUGUAAGUCAAGAGAGGGGUCGUGGUAUCGAAGAGCUUGGGACCUUGAAAUAUCUGAAAGGAUCGUUGAGGAUAAGAAAUCUUGGACUAGUGAAGGGCAAAGAAGCAGCUAAACAAGCAAAAUUGUUCGAAAAGCCAAAUCUGUCUUACUUGGCGUUUAGUUGGGAGAGUGGGGAUCGGGCAAGCGAUAACCGUGAUGAGGAUGUGUUGGAAGGUCUCCAACCUCACCCAAAUUUGCAAAGGCUGGGAAUUGAUUCUUUUAUGGGUAAUAAAUUUCCACAAUGGCUUAUCAAUUUGUCAAAAUUGGAGGAAUUGGUGAUAGAAGACUGCCAGAGAUGCAGCGAACUCCCCUCAUUAGGACAACUGCCAUCCCUCAAACGUCUCUAUUUGAUAAGAUUGGACAACAUUCGAUUUAUUGGAGAUGAAUUCUACGGUAUUACUGCUAAUGAGGAGGAGGAGGAGGAGGGCAGAUCACGAGCAUCAGGGAGCAGCACUAGAAGGCGAAAAUUCUUUCCUGCCCUUGAAGGACUCUGGGUAAUACGUAUGGGGAAUUUGGCAGAGUGGAAAGGUGCAGACCAAGUGAGGUCAACAGUAGGUGAAGCAGAAGCAGACGUCUUUCCCAUGCUGAUGGAUUUUCACAUUGUAAGUUGCCCACAACUGACCACUCUUCCAUGCUCGUGUAAAAGUCUACACGUGGAGAGUUGCGAUAAUCUAACAAGUAUAAAAAUGGGUUACGGCGCUGCUUCUGUUGAGGAGUGGUGGAUCGACUCUUGCGACAAUCUUAGGGAGCUGCCAGAUCUGGAUCUGUUUGGAUCGAGUUUGCAGCGAUUGACCAUCGCAAGUUGCCCAAGAUUAAUUGACCAUCACUUGAAGGAGGAGAUUUCAAGUGAUCCGGUGAGAUUUUCCUAUCUAAAGUUCACACGCAUAUAUAUGUGUAUAAAUUUUUUGUAUCUGCAUCUCAUUGACGUAUAUUUGCUCUUCAGUCUCUUGUACUCUUUUUCUCCAUCUCUUUUCUGCAAAGUUAUUCUCUGUAAUUCUCUUCUUUUGGGCAGACCUUGGUUUCUUUUCAAAGAUUAGUUUUAACAAAGCCUGGUUUUGAGCAAAUAGGAAGAGACCAAAAUUCUGGAUUUUCUCUGCAUCUCGCCAUUGAAAGAUUUUGAACAUCUUAAAAACUCAACUUGUUACCUUCUAUUUGGCCAAGAACGAAAUUAUUUGCAACGGUGCAUACACAGUUAGCCUCUUUGUUUGAAUGUGUUAGCAAAUGUUUCAUUGCAUGUGCAAUGCUAGAUGUACAUGGGAGCAUUCAUCAUUUUUCUGUCACCGAUAUUGCCAGUCUGAAUGGACAACAUUAAAGCUAAUCAAGAAACAACUGUGAAGAAAAUUCAAGAUGCAAUUUGCUAUUCUUUGGGACUCUGUGUUCUUAUUUCUAUAUCAGUCUCCUUGAAGUUCAAAUAUGUUUGUUGAUGAACUAGAGUGCUGCAAACCUUCACCCCUCACAAUUGGUGAUGCAUGCUUCAUAAGAAUGACAAUAAUAUGGGAUGGUUGUUUAUCAUCUUUCAGAAGUUUGAGAAGUUUGUACAUCACAAUUACCUUGUUUUUUUUGUUCUGUGAGCUGAAUUACUAUAUUGUUACCUUGUCUAGCAGUGACCGAACAAGAAGGCAAUAAUGGUGCUCAAACAUUAGUUUCAUGUUGAUUCCCAUCCUUGCUGAAGAAGGAGAAACCAGAAGGUAUGAUGGUUCUCAAACAUCAGCUUCUCUCCCCAAGAACUCUUUUUAACCUCCGCCCAAUUUAUUAAAAAUACAAGGAAACUAGUGCAAGUUUUUAUCAAAGUAUGCUUGAGUCAUGCAAUUUGCCAGAAAACAGGGUGUUUUUUUGUACUUUCAUGUACUUUUGAACAUUUGUCCUGUGCUAUAUAGCUUAGUUUUUAAUCUUUAAGAUUGUACAUUUACUAGGUGCUUAACAUGUCAUUUGAUUGUGAAAGAAGCUGGUUUAUUCCAUUUUCUUGUACUGGUUACUAGACCAUACCUUUUCUUUGCAUUCCUUAGCUGUCAUAACUGAAGUCAUACUGAAGUGUAACAUUACGAUGGUAUUUUCCAGAGUCUUAGAAAGCAGACCUCAUGUUGUUCGACAAAGACACCACCCUUUGCUGUUGCAUUUCUUACAAGAGUGCCAGGGGGCAGAAGUUAUUUUCACUGACUAGAUAGGUUUGAAGAUGAAGUUAGUAAUCAAUGAUGAGAAUUUUGCACAUCAGAGAGUGCUAGCUUUGACGGAGGCUUCACCAAUAGGUAGUUCUCCCCAGGUUUCCCAAACAUAAGUUUUUGCUCAUCUCCUGCUCGGGGUGUAGAAAGAAUGGUAAUAAUUUAGCUUGUUCAUCUUCAGGCAGUUUUCAUAGCUUUUUUAUCUGCAUUCUUGAUAUAUAUUUAGUAAAUAAAUCACCAAAACAUUUUUUUUGCCCUUUGGUGUAGCAUGCUGAUCGCUGAACAAAUUGGAAGAGACCAAAAUUUUGGGUUUUCUCUGCCUCUCUGAACCACUGAAAGAUUUGAACAUCUUAAAUCUCUUUAACUUCAACUUGUUACAUUCUAUUUGGCCAAUGUCAAAAUUACUAGCAAUGGUUCAUAGCCAAUUAGCCUCUUCGUUUGAAUGUGCUACAAAAUGUUUCAUUUGAUUUGCAAUGCUAGAUGUACAUGGACAUAUUCUUCAUUUUUCUGUCACUGAUAUUGCCAGUCUCAAUGGAUAACAUUUAAGCUAAUCGAGAAACGAUUUUCAAAGAAAAUUCAUGACACAAUUUGCUGUUCUUUGGGACUCUGUGUUCUUGUUGCCAUAAAAUUAGACCAGUCUAAUUGAACUUCAAAUAUGUAUGUGGAGGAACUAGAGUGCUGUGAACAUUCACCCCUUACAAUUGAUACUGCAUGCUUCAUAUCAAUGACAAUAAUUUUUUUUUUUCAUGACAAUAAUGUUGGAUAGUUGUUUAUCAUCUUUCACAAGUUUGAAAAGUUUAUACGUCACAAUUGCCUUGAUUUUCUGUUCAGUGAGCUGGAUUACUGUAUUGUAACCUUGCAUAUGAGCAAUGCAAGGAAUGAUGGUGCUCAAACAUCAGCUUCGUGUUGUUUUCCAUUGCUGCUAAAGAUGAAGAGCUCAGGAGGUAUGUGGUGCACAAAAGUGAUAAUCCAGCACUUCUCUCCCCGAGAACUCUAAGUUUGCAUUCUAAUAUGCUUAAGUCAUGUAAUUGGCAUGAAAACAGGGUGUUUUGCUGCACUUUUGUUUGUUUUUGAAUGCUUACCCUGUGCCACAUAGCUUAUCUUUUGCUCUUGAAGAUUUUUAUGUUUAUUUGGUGCUUAACAUGUGUUAUGAUUGUGAAAGAAUCUGGUUUUCAAUUUUCUUGCACUAGUUACCAGUCCAUACCUUUUCUUUGCUUUCAUAAUUUGCCAUGAUUGAAGCUGUUCUGAAAUGUAAUAUUAUGAUGUUUAUUCCAGAGUCUUAGGAAGCAGACCUCAUGUUAUUGGAAAAGGACACCACCGUUUGCCGUUGCAUUUCUUACUAGAAUGCCAAGGGACAGAAGUUAUUUGCAUUGAGGGUUUGAAGAUGAAGGCAGUAGUUAUCAAUGAUGUUAAUUUAGCUCAUUAGAUAGGAUUAGCUUUGAUGGAUGUUUCACAAAUAGUUGGUUCUCCCCAGGUUCCUCAAACAUAAGUUUUUCGGUUUCUCCUGGUCAGAAUGCAGAAAGGAAGGUAAUGAUUUAACUUGUGUGUCUUCAGGGCAGUUUUUAUAGUUUCUGAUCUACUUUCUUGAUAUGUAUUUAGUAAAUCUAUUACCAAAACUUUUUUUCUUUUUGUUGAUUUCUGAACUGAAAAUGGCUAGUAGCAGGCUUGUAGAGUGUGACAUGGAUGAAGAAGAAAGAGAGGGGAGCAUCAUCCGAGCAUGGAAGCUGAUACUGGAGACCUAUCAAGAUGCGCAGCUGAUUAUAGUCAAACUGGACUGAUGGAUGUUUGUGACAGUAGACACAAUAAAUUGGAUAAACAAUCAAUUUGGAGCAGUGAGAAAUGUAGAUGCAAGAAGUCUUGAAUUGCACAAAGAUCCAAGGAAGAGCAUAUUUUGUGAAGAAUUAACACUUUUUAAAAUAUGGCAUUUCAUACUUUUGGUGUAUCAGAAUGUGACAAGUCCUGAUAGUAAGUACGUUUUCUUCAUCUUUUAUAGGGAGUAAAAGUAUGUCUAGAGACCAUACUUGCAAGAUUUCCUACCCUUUUUUAGUUAGACAUUUGAUAGAGAGAACUUUUCCUCUUCAAAUAAUCAUUUUUAUUAUCUAUGAUAGGUGAAAUUGCUUAUCAAUUUUACCUGAUACUGCGAAAUUGCUUUGGGUUCAUAAACAAAUCAUAACAGUAAAAUCUAAAUGAUGAUCUUAUUGUUAAAGGUUUUAUAUAAGAAUAGGUACUUAAUACAAAUGAAACAACGUAUAUUAUUGAAAUUUUCAUCAGUAUUGAGUAAAUUAGACAAUUGUAUUCAAUAUUGUGGUCGUAUUAUAAUUUUUCUCUUCUCUAAUUCGCCUACGCUGCCAUUGAAGUUUUAACAAAAAUGUCAUACAAUUCUAACAACUAGAGUUGUCAACAAUUGAACUUGGUACUGACUAGUAUUAUUAUUUUUUUUUUUUUGUCAAAGAUAACAGUAGCAUUAUUCUCAAAGAUAUGUGUAAAUUCCAUCUUAUCUUGCUAAUGUCAAGAGCCUAAUCUUCAAGACAAAAAAUUUAUUAAAGCCGUUAAAUUAAGUAUUUGUACUAAGAUUUUUAUUUUCCUCUUUCUUUCAAGUAAGGUGGGGAGAGAUGAGCAAUCCAUAGCAUUCUUCAAUCUUCGAUUUAGAGAAUUGGAGUCUUUUCUUUAAGGGUGCGUUUGAUAAAAUUGAAAUUUAAAAUUUGAAAUCUGAAGUCUGAAAUCUAAAUCCAUUAACUACUGAAUUGUUAAAUACUAAAUUUGAUACAUUUAAAUGUAUAUCACAUUAAGUGAUAAGUGAAUAACUUAUCACUUAUUUUUUAGAACAAGUUUUGCUUUGGAAAUUCAUUGCCACUUAAUUAAUCCAUGUGUUUUAGUUUUAGUUAUCGAACGCAUCUGAACAUAAUUUAAGUGCUAAAUUGGAUUAUCAAAUAGAAUUCAAGUUUAACAGAAUUUCAACUAAAAAUCAAUAGGUUCAUUGAGCUAACAUAAUUUGCUAAUAAUAAUAAUAAUAAUAAUAAUAAUAAUAAUUUCAAAUAUUAUUCAGAGAAAUGAGACAUGAGCCUUUAGUCUUCAUUCUCCAGUUGAACUUAGACGUUUUAGACUUUUAGUGGAGCGCUUCUUUCAGGUAAAAAUAAAUUUCAGUAAAGCAUUUAAAUAACUAUAGAAAACAUAUUGAUUCCUAUGCUGUUGAACCUCUCAGUAAUUAUCGAAGAACCUUUUGCAAUGGUAUCCUGCCAAGAGAUUCAUAAUCCAUGCUAUAUUGCGUGUUGAAAAUCAUACAUAAAAAAAAACCUUGCCCAAUCCUACAAAAAUCACAAUACUGUAGUACAUAUAAUCAGUUAACUUCUGGUUUUCGUGGAGUACAACUGUUUGACCCAUUUCUUUAGCCCAAAAUAAAAUUUAUAAGUAGCAAAAGAAACUGACCAUAUGAUCAAAACAGUAGGGCAUAAUACACUUUGCCCUCAUGUAAUUUAACGUUUUUUUUGCAUAAUCUCCCAUAUGGUUUCAAAGUUACGCAUACCCUUUUCAUGAUUUGGAUGAAAAUGUCAAAAUAACAGAAUUUAUAUUCUAGGGUUAAUUCCACUUUGUCCCCCCAAACUUUGGACGAUUACCCACUUAAGUCCCUAAACUUCAAAAUGAGACACUUAAGUCCCUAAACUUAUAAAUACCUCUCACUUAAGGAAAAUUGUUAACAAAUCCUGAAUGCCGUUGGUGGUCGAAGUGUCCUAUUUUAUAAGGGUUUAGGGAUUUAAGUAUCCCAUUUUAUAAGUUCAGGGACUUAAGUGGGAGGUAUUUAUAAGUUUAGAGACUUAAGUGUCCCAUUUUGAAGUUUAGGGACUUAAGUAGAUAAUCGUCCAAAGUUUGGGGGGACAAAGUGGAAUUAACCCUAUAUUCUAUAAUGGAGUCAACUAAAAUGUUAACAGUAUCUCUAUAUAAAGUUGAAAAUUAUUUAUUAAUCACGGAAGUUUAUGUAUAUAAUUUAAAAAUUAUAAAGGGAUUAUAUGGUAAAACAUUAAAUCAUAAAAGAGUUAUAUAAUAAACCAUAAAAUCAUACGAGGUUAAAGUAUCAUACAUAUUAUAUAUUUUGGUCAUUUUAAUCAUUUUAAUUUUAAACAAGAGUAAUUUUGACAUUUUCAUGGAUUCCAUUACCAAUGAUCAUUUCCGUCACUUUGAUACUUUAAUUUAGAGUAUGAGAUGGUAAUAUAUAGCUUUUAAAGCUAUAGAGAAGUUUUGUAAAAAAAUUGCUAAACUACAAGGGGUCAAGUGUAUUUUGCCCAAAAUAGUAAUACUAGAUUCAAUCUAAUGAAAUCCUCUAUGGAUUGAAAUUGCAAAAACCCUUUUCCCUUGGCAAGCCGGGACUUUCUUAUUUACAAGGGAUUCAAUUCUGCAAUUGCUUAACUCGAGCUGAAAUCGUAUUGCACCAUGAACUUUCAAAUCAAACAGGAGAACGAUGCCGCCUACUCAAAACCAUUAAAACUAUGUUGAACAGAGUUUGAGACAAGGACUACUGCAGGUGGCAACUCUCCAAAAAGGUUGACCGUCAUGAUUUGGUUUAAAAAAAAUAUUAGGAUCAAAUCACAUCUUGUAAAUAAAUUUUAACACCAUUUAUGAGGUCCAUAAAAUUUUAUUCUAUAUUUAUAAGUCGCUGAAAAUAAGUUACAUUCUAAAUAAAGUGAGUUAUAUUCUGUGCAAAUGAAACAAAAUUGGCCCAAAUAAUUUUUCUGACAACCAUUUGGAUCCUUGGUCCAUGGUAAACUUAUUACAAUACAUAGAGAGGGCUUCUCUUAUAGACUAUAUAUCGCUGUACACCAUUACACUAAUAAUUGAGUCUGACUUGUGAGGUUGGCAACUGUGGUCCAUAUAUAAUAUAAUUUUCAUAAGACAUACUUGGUUUCUAAAAUGUCCUUCACAUUUUGUUAAAUAAAUUAUUUCAUCCUUCACUUUUAAAAUAAUAACUUUAUAUUUCAUACAAAAUCAAAUCAGUAAAAUUUGGUUCCAAUCGAGAUUUUUUACCACAUUUUAUCCUAAAUCCAUCAUGUAACCCAUAUGCAAUCAUUAUUUAUGUAUGGAAAGGCUGAUCAGUUGCAUGGUAAAAAAUUACUCACUAAUGUACGAGGAGAGUCUCUGAUGCCACAUCAUAUAUUUGCACUUAUUAGUGUAAAAAAUUUUAACAUUGAUAGUGUAUACAAUAUUAAUUCUAUAUAUUUAUUAAUUCAAAGAAUUAUUGGAUUAGAAAAUUCAAUGUGCAUUCAUAUACAUAGAUCAAGAAAAGAAAAUAAAAAGUGCAAGGACAAUUGUAUAUCUUUCAUAUUGUAGGUUUCGAGCUUAUAUGUCUUGAUUGGGUUAAGGUUGUGGUUUUUGAUAUAGAUUUGAAUCAACUAUCGUAAUAUAGAGGGCAAAGAUUAUGGUUAGAUUAGUAGAUGCCCUUAUAUCCUUUUCAAGUGGUCUACUUGAAUUUGUUUAAUAAGAUUGGAUCCGAAAUAGAGGAUGAACUACAUUCAACACAGGAUAUGGUAUUAAGAAGUCGGUGACGUUGAAUUAGAGUAAACUAAAAUUAAGAAAGGACUUCACUUAAAAGUGUCAAUAGUCUUUGUUUUGGCAAACCUUAGGAGAGAUAAAUAUAGUUGAUCGAUAUGAUUAGAAUAAUAUACCAUCCAAAUCUAUUGUCAGUUGAGGUACCACAUAUGUUACAUUUAUGCAUUCAAAUCUACCAAUUGUGAUGCUUUAACAGCACAUUCUUGAUUAUGUAAAUAGUUAUCUAAUUUUUUUAUGCUUUGAGGGAUAAUUUCUAAAAGUUAGUUUUUUUAAGAGUAAAAUGUCCUUUUUUUUCUUUUUUUUUUUUGAAAUAUAAAUUCUAGCCAUAUAUAGAUAUGUGAGUUUGCUUUAGUAAUAUAGCGAUUUAGUAAUAUGCGUUUGGUUCCCUAUGGAAUUGGGGUUUAGAAUUGGAAUUGGGCCCUAAUUCCAAUUCCAUUGUUUGGAUUCUGCUCCCCUCAAAGAAUUAGAAUUGAAUCUGAAUUCUAUAAGAGUCCAAUUCCAUGAAUUGAAUUCUUUACCGGAUCAAAAGAAUUCUAAUUCUAAUUCCACAACUAAACGGGUCCAUACGCGGAUCUAAUACGGGCCAAAAAUUAAAAUCGGGUCAAGGAUAUUGGCAGCCCCUCAAUUCCUAUCUAACUCACCGUUUUUCCUCAGCCACUAGUGCUCUGCUCUCCACCAUCGCUUCCACCUGCAACCCUAAUAUUUUCAUAUUAGAGAAGUGGACGGUAGAGAAAGGAGCCAUUAUGGCUAAAUCUUUCUAGUCUUGAGAUUCACUACUGUCAAAGAUUAACCAUGAUUCCGGCCCGAGGGAUUGAGGUUCAUUGGUUCACUCAUAAAGUGUUGGCAAUCCGUGAAGAAUUUCAGAACAGGGUUCGAGGAGAGGAUUUCGACAAAAUCUGCCACAAUAUUCCUUCAGUAAGGAUCCUUCCACCUCUAAAUCGUAUUUUGAUACAGAUACGUCUUGAACAAAGCUUUAAUCCUGGAAGCCUUUCAUUCAGUGAUGUAAUUUUUUCCGCCUUCUUCUAUUUCCCAUUGUUCUUGUUUAACUCCAUUUUAUAGCUUCAUCUAUCAGAAUAUAUAGUGAGUACUACACUUUUUAUCGUUUACCUGCUCCUUCCUUCCUACUCGAAUCCAUGUUCUGAAUACUGUGAGAUCCAAGCUGCUUUUCGUAUUUGCUACUGCAGAUGAUGCCAAAGAAUCUGUAAAGAAGGGAAUUCGCUUGAGGUGAAAACCUUCUGAAGUUUUUUGACCAUGGGCUUAUUUUUUGCUUAUCUCUGCUGCAGAUUGCUGUUAGUUAUCUUGAUAAUUGAUAUUUUAACCUUUCUGGUCAAGUUGUGCAUUUCUUAAUGAUUGAAGGCCUGCUUUUGUUUCUGCUUCCUCUCACUAAUUUGUUCUAUUGUGACUGGAGUGGGUUUGAAUUCAGUUAGUUAAAUCGAGUCCAAGUUGCUUCCUCUCACUAAUUGAAUUGAGGGUUGAUAUCAAAGUGGGUGGCAUAUGAUUCUAGGUAGUCAAUGAAUUGUUUCUUGGUGGCGUAAUCAGGGUAAUAAUCAGGGAAGGGGAACUUAUUAGCUAUCCCGAAUAACAAGACAGAAAUGAAACCAUAUCCAUUUUAUCUUUCAUAUCCAUUUUUGUUCAGGUGGACUUGUUCUAGUUUUGUUUGGCUCAUUUCUUGUCUUGUUCAUCAGAUGUCUAAUGACAAAAGAAGUUCCUUUGCACCUGUUUCUCUGGCUCAGUAUAUCUGAUGCUGUCUUCCAUACAAACAAAAACUUGGUCCUUAAAUUAAUCCAGGAUCAAUAGAAUCUUCCCUUGUACUACUAUUAUAUAUCAUUUGUCUAAAUUAUACUACUGCUUCAUAUGGAUUGCUGGUGGUAGUAUUUUAUCUUCACUCUGAUGGAUUUUCUGAAAAAGUUUAAAUGAAUAAGAAAUAAGAAAUUUUUGGGUUCAAUUCCACCAGAAUUUGGUUUAUUUCUUGGUCGGAAUUCUGAAUUUUUACUGGAUUGUUACUGGAAAUGAUGGAAUUGAUGACCCACCCCACUAGUUACAAUAUGAUGUAGUUUUGCAGCAUGAUAUUUAUACCAGUUUUCUUCAUUGAAAGUGGUACUGAAUUCAAGAGAACCAAUAGUGCAGCAAACUUUGGCUACUGGACAAUAACUUCGUACAACCAUAUAAAAAUGUUGAUAGUUUUCUAGAAACGAAUUAAGUUUCAGCUUUUGUUGGUGGCUGGAAGAUUCUCCACAGGCUGCAGGAAGACUUGGCUUUUGGUGAAGGUGGUAGCGCAGAAGUUGUCCCCAAGGUGCUUGCAUCUCCAUGUAGGAGGAGGAGAGGUCUGCCUGACAAAUUGGCUGCAACAUAUCAAAAAGAUUAGUAGAGAAAAUAUAAUUUCUGCACGUAGUCCCAUUGGAUGAUUAUAGUUAAGUGGGGAACAAUUUAUAGCAUUUCUUGGGAUCUAAUGCUUUUUUAAAAUUGCUUUGCAUUCUUUCUCAAAGUUAAGGAGCUUUUGUAUAAGUGCUCUUCCUGUAUUCUAUUUAGCAAGUACUUGACUGUGUGUGAAUUGGUCAUCUGACAGUCUUAAGUUUUGUAUUUUCCAACAUCUCCUCCAAAGAAGCUGGUAAAUAUUAGUACAAAGGUUCGGUCGUGUAUUUAUCAUAUUGUGUUACAAAAACAAGAAGCCUCGGGACUUUGUCUUCAUGAUUGAGAUCUAUUCUACAUUUUUUCAUUUCGUGGUGCACAGUUCUUUAUUCGGUAGAGUCAUAAAUUUUACCCUACUCGAUUAUCACCAAAAAAGUCAAUUUGUAUAUUGUCUUCUUUUUCACUAUUUUCUUGGGUCAGGUAAUUUGUGAGUAAUUAACUGUCCGGUAUUCUACCAUGUUUUAAGAAAUAUGCUAGUGUCAUUGGGGAUUUACUUUUACGGGGUUGAGGUCCAGUUUUGGUUGGAUGCCAAUAUCUAUACCAUACGUUGAACAAAAGAAGGCAGUCAGAUUGACAUGUCUCGCUAAUGCUGUGCUUAGCACAACCUACGUCUGGAAAUGUUCACCAAAGAAAUUGAUAUAAGAGUGGAAAAAAAUAAAUUAUUAAAGGCACAAAUUGGUUUUUACUUUUAAAUCUUUAGUAAAAAUUAGCUAAAUGUAAAGAAAAAAAUUAUUAUAUAGAAAAAAGAAAAAAAAGAAAAAUUUUAUGUAAGCAAAUGUUUCAUGAAAACAAUUCUAAUUCCUAAUGAAUUCUUCUCUCAUGCAAACAAAGGAUUUGGAAUUUCAAAUAAAUUCCGUAUCAAUUCUAUGCAUUUCCCAAACGAAAGAAUUGGAAUGACUUGGAAUUCCAAUUCAUAGAAUUCCAAUUCUAUAGAAUUUCAAUUCUAAUUCAAUUCUAAUUCUAUAAAACCAAACGCACCCUGACAAUGAAUUUCAAUGAUUUUCUUAUAAUCCCAUUCAUGAAUAGACUUCUAAUUAUUCCUUGGGCUAUUUACAUAAUACUAACAUUGAGUUAUUCUUGCAAUAUUGCUCAUAAGAGGGACAAAGGUAAUAUGACUCUCUACUUUGUAAGUUAAUUUGUUUGAACUUCAAGUUAAUAUUUUAAGUAAAGGAUAAAAGUAGUGUGAUCAGUAUAUAAGUCUGUAUUUGAGGCUUACAAUGUUUUAGCAAAUGCUUGGUAAUCCCCUUACUAAUCAAAUUCGAUGAUAAAUUAUUAAUUGAUUUUCUAGAUAAAGUCACCAUAUCCUUUAGUUAAGCAUUAAGAGAUGAGGCAAACCUAUAAAUGGAGAAUACCUUAGAAUAGUUGGUGAGGUGGCAAGGAGCUUUUCCUAAUUUUUCCUUAACAAGAUUUUUAUUCCUCUCUUUUCUCAAAAUAAACUUUUUAGCUUUGGUAGCCUGGCUAUUUGAAACAUUUGCAAGUGAAGUUCCAUGAAGACUGCGUUAGAAUUUGCUUAUUCGAGAUAAGGCAAGUGAAAAUCCCAAGCAACUUCCAAUGCAAAAGCAUUCAACUUUUGGCAACGAAGCAUUGCACUUCUACACGGAUUGAGGGCUCACAAUUCGUCACACCAUUAUCCUUUUUUGUCAUUAGAACAUAAUACUAGAAAUAUGCAUAUGAAAUAUGUCACUUAUUAUGGCAAUUGUACACUUUCAAUGCAACGAAUGUACAAUUUAAACAUUAGUUUAUGUUGUAAUGAAUAUGUAAGUAAGAGUUACAUUAUGGCUAAUCUUUGCCAUAGAGUAUCUCAAGCAAUCAGGCCAAAUAAUUGUUAAGGCACUUUUAUAUCUAUUCAAUGAGAUUGAAACAAAUGCACCGUUCAAGUUAUUCUUUGUCAAAAGUCGUUAGUCAAGCAGUUUAGCCAAAAACAAGAGAGGUGUAAUUGUUCAUGCCCCGUUCUUGGUAAGAUGGAAGCUAAUGUAUCAUUCAAAGUUACUUUUGGCCAAAAUUCAUGCAUCAUUUUUCAAAAGGCUUCAUGAAAGUGAGCUCAACAUUCUUGGUUGUGUGUAAGUUUAAAAGUACUUCAUAUCUCAAGAUACCAUUGAUUCUUACUUUCUCUUUUCAAAAAUAAAAGUUCAAGUAAUAUGACAUCACAAGCCCGAUUACUGAGACACAAAGGCAAGUAUAAGUGUUUUACAUGUUUUUCAAAUAAAGAAUAUGUUAUAUAUCCCCCAAAAAAUCUUAAAAGAAAGAAAAAAAACGUCCUUUCUUGCUUGAAAAUUUGCAUCAUAACGCGUUCUAUUGUUGGGCAAUUAAUCCUCAUGAACAAGAUACGGAGGUCAUUGUCUACGAGUAAAUUUCCAAAUCCGGCUGCCUUUUGAAGCUGGUUUGCAAAAUGUGAAAGUUUUUAAACAAAGAACGCAUUCACUAUAUCCAAUGUUUAAAAAUUUAGAAAAAAAAUAUAGUUUUACUCCUUAUUGUUUAGUCUCUGUGCAGUUUUAGAUCUUAAAGGUUCGGUAAAAGUAAAUCUAGUCGUUAAUGUAUAGUGUAUGUACAGUUUUAGUCCUCUGGGGAUUGGUCUGGUGGUUGAAGUUGUUGAAGAUGAAGACUUAGGUCCUUGGUUCGAACUUUACUGCCAACAAGUUGUGGAGGGUGGGAAAUAGUCUGCGGGAUUCACUUCCUACGGAACACCCCUAAAAAAAAAAAAGUAUAGUAUAUGUACAGUUUUAGUCUCUAAAGAUUUGACAAGAGCAAUCCGAUUUUCAAUGUAACCAUUUUGAAGCAUUUUAAGGGCAAUUGAUAAAUUUUUCUAAAUAUUAAUCAAAUCAGUCACGUGCAAUCACAUGUUUGUUAAAAAAAACUUCUUAAAAGAGAAUCAAACUAAUGAGUAAUCUUUAACAAUAAGAAUAACUUGCAUGCUAACACAUUAGUAACAAAUUACUCAAGAAAAAAAAGAAAGAAAAUUUGUUAAUCUAUACUAAAAAUUAGGAAUCACAUUUUUUUACUUGGAGACACUAGAGAUAGUUAGUGAACAUGAAUUCUAGAUCAAUGAACUUGGUAUAUUGAAGUUUGAGUUUAAAAAUUUUCCUUCUUUUUAUUGGUUAAAUAGUUAACAAAUGAGUUAUUAGUUCUUAAUUUUAUUGUUUAAAGUUAGCUACUAUUUUUCUUCUUUAUUUUGGAAUUUAAUGUCUAAUUCCCAUGGAUUGGUAAUCCUUUCAGUUUUUUUACUAACAAAUGACGUGAACUGCUAUAUGCUUUUCUCCAGUGUGCUUGCGAUUAAAGUUUCUUGUCCCUCUCUGGUGGAACUUACACACAAUUAUUCAAUCAGAAAAAGAUGAAGGCCCCAGCAACAACAGUGAUCGAGGGCCAAGCAACUUCCAUUGCAAAAGCAUCCAAAUUUAUUGAGCCACUGAUCGAGGGCUCCCUGAUGUCUUUCAAGUAUUCUACCGAAACAACUAAUGGCCGCCUUCAUUGACCAAACUUAGAAUUGUUGUGGCCGACAAAAUUUAGUCUAGGCUUUCAUACAGCUAUUCUUUAUCAAAUCAUGCAACAUAUAUUUAUUUGUAAACCAAAACUUGUAACAAAUAUUUGGAAUUUUUUUUUUGAAAAAUAUUGUGACAUUUCUUUAAUCUGAUGUAUAUAAGAUAAAAAAAUAAUUAAAAAAUAUAUUAAUAAUGUAAAUAAAUAAAUUUUGACAAAUAAUUUACGAUCACAAACAAAUCCAUUACAAUCAGAUGACAGGUUACUAUGAACAGAGUCUGCUCAUAGACACGUUAGAUAACUAUGAACGGCGAGUCUUUUAGAAGUUUGCAUCCGAAGAGCAAAAAAUUCCUUUGCUAACUUAAAUAUAUGCAUUUACCAUUACAUGUACUGAGAAAUAACUCCUACAUUGGCAAUAAUUCAUACGGUAAUUCAGAUAUUUUUAGUAACAGGCCCCAGAUUGAAUCAUAAAAAGAUGAAGGCCCCAGCAACAACAAAAAUGAUUAAGAAAGAUCAGGCGAAAAUGCCAAAGCAACUUCCAUUGCAAAAGCAUCCAAUGGAGAAUUGAAGCCCAGCACUAGACUGAUUGAAAACUCCUUAUUUGUCACAUAAUUAUCAUUAUUUAUUUCUUGUACCAAACCAUAGCAGUCGAAGUUGAGUUGGACCACAGGUUUGUUAAUGUGAGCAUAAAUAUCUCAUGUGAUUAGGGUGGUUCUACACCUCGAAUGCAACAAACGUAGUACAAUUUAAGCAUGGGUUUGUGUUGUAAAUUUGUAAUUAAUAUACGCAAAUAAAAGUCAUUGUGUGAUUGUAAAAAAUGGAUAGCUGAUUAUGAAUUGUCUAAUUAUAAGGAAGUAAAUAAAAAUUUUCUCUUAAUUUCUUAAAUUGGAGAAUAAAAGAAGCCGGUGAAUUGUAAUUAAUCUGUUAUACAAAAAAAAAUAUGUUGUUUCUUCAACUUUAUAAAUUUUUAGUUUAAAAAUUUUUUAUUUGCUUAAAAAUAAAAAUUUUUUAAAUAAGAAUAAAAAUUAAUAAAAUUUUUAAAAAUGUAAUUUGGAAUAAAAACUAGAAGGGAAGGGGAAAAAAGAAGAAAAUAUCAACAUUGUAGAGGGAUUUUUUUUUCCCUCUUAGGGGGUUAAGUGUUACAAAAUAGAAAUUAGAGGGUAAAAUGAGAAACAGGACAUACCUUAGCAAGAUAAAUGGCAAUUAACCCCUAUUAUUAAUUAAAUAAAUUUUAUAACACUGACAGUGCAUACACUCUCAUCGUUAAAUUCAUGACACGUGUGCAAAAAUUAAAUUUAAAUUUAAAUUUUAUAUAGUUAUCAUUAAUACAAUGAUGAUAGUGUAUACAUUGUCAGUAUAGAAAAGAUUAAUCCUUAUAAAAGAGCAAUCCGAUUUUCAAUGUCACCAAUUUGAAGCAUUUUGAGGACCACUGACGAAUUUUUUUAAAUAUUAAUCAAAUCAAUCACGUGUAGUCACAUAUUUGUUAAAAAAAACUUCUUAAAAGAGAAUCAAAAUAAUGAGUAAUCUUUAACAAUAAGAAUAACUUGCAUGCUAACACAUUAGUAACAAAUUACUCAAGAAAAAAAGAAAGAAAAUUUGUUAAUCUAUACUAAAAAUUAGGAAUCACAUUUUUUUACUUGGAGACACUAGAGAUAGUUAGUGAAAAUGAAUUCUAGAUCGAUGAACUUGGUAUAUUGAAGUCUUAGUUUAAAAAUUUUCCUUCUUUUUACUGGUUAAAUAGUUAACAAAUGAGUUCUUAAUUUUGUUGCUUAAAGUAAGAUACUAUUUUGCUUCUUUAUUUUGAAAUUCAAUUUAAUAGGCACAUGGCUUAGACAUGACUAAAUUUUGUUAGUAAUUGAGAUAAAAUUCUUCAAAUGUCCUAAAAGCAGCUUUAAAUUGAAUAUAAACGGGACCAGACUUGCUCUUGCUAUAACUUUAUGGACUAAAACUGCACAUGUACAAAAUAUUGAGGAUCACGAUUGCUUUUGUUAAAACUUUAUGCCUACGAAGACUGAAAUGUGGCAUUCAGCAAAUGCAACUCUUCUACAAUUAUGAGAUUGGUCCAAUGGUCAAGAGCAGCCAACUCUUCAACUCUUUUAACGCAUUCAUCGUUGUGUACAAAAGCAGCCAGCUGGCAAAAUAGGUACUACAUUGACAAUAAUGGAAAACUUCCAUUGCAAAAGCAUCCAAAUUUCCCACUGAAUUGAACCACUGAUCGAGGGCUCCCCGAUGUCUUUCAAGUAUUCUACCGAAACAACUAAUGGCCGCCUUCAUUGACCAAACUUAGAAUUGUUGUGGAUAACAAAUCACACGAAGAUUCAAAUCAGUUUCACAUUCAACAAAAACUAGAACAAUUAGUUGGUGUUCUUCCACAAUUAAGGCCCCCACCAGUGACUAAAUCAAUUUGAUUAAUCACAAUUAUACUAAUCUGAAUCUCACACAUCAACCCACUGGAAUCGUUAACUCAUCUCUCUCUUAUUCUGACUGGCUUCUAUUCUGAUUUCUACCAUUUGUUGCUGAAACAUUCCUUCCAUCUCUGAUAUCAGAAAACCUUUCGAUCCUAGUUCCAAUUCCAAGCAAGAAACAAUGGCUGACGCUGCUAUCAGUGCUACUGUUAAGGUCGUCUUGGGGACACUUAUUUCCAUUGCUGCGGACCGCAUUGGUAUGGUUCGGGAGGUCAAAGCAGAGUUGGAGAGACUAAGCAACACUGCUGCAAUCAUCCAAGGUUUCUUGGCUGAUGCUGACGGGAAAAUGCAUACCCAAGGGGUGCGAGAGUGGCUCAAGCAGCUAGAAGAUGAGGUUUUUAAAGCUGAUACCGUGCUAGACGAGCUCAACUACGACAAUCUUCGUCGGGAGGUGAAGUACCGAAAUCAACCAAUGAAGAAGAAGGUAUGCUUCUUCUUCUCCUUCUUUAAUGCAAUUGGCUUUAGUUCCAGCUUGGCUUCAAAGAUCCGGGACAUCAACACCAACCUAGAAAGGAUCAACCAGCGAGCCAAUGAGUUGAGAUUGGCCAAAAAGCAGCAAAAAGAAGCUGCACUCCCUGCUGAUGCCGCUGGUGCCAGACAGACCGACUCUAUUGUCGUUCCGAACGUUGUGGGAAGAUCCGGCGACGAGUCAAAGAUUGUGGACAUGUUAUCGAGCCCAUCUGAAAAGGUUCUUUCUGUUAUUCCCAUAACAGGCCCGGGAGGUUUGGGAAAGACAACUCUGGCGAAAUCAGUCUACAAUAAUCCAAAAAUAGAUGGGCACUUUGGCCAAAAAAUUUGGGUUUGUGUGGCUAAAGAACAAAUUAAGAUAAUGGAGCUGUUCAAGCUCAUUUUAGUACAAUUGACAGGAGAAGAAGUUAAAGUGGAUGACAGGAAUGUUAUCGUUAAAAACAUUGGAGAAAAGCUCAAGGGACAAAAAUAUUUCCUUGUUCUUGAUGAUGUGUGGGAUCAUGAACAAGGAUUGUGGAAUGAUUAUUUCAACACUUUGAUGGGACUCAACGAAACCAAAGGAAGCUGGUGUCUUCUCACUACUCGUCUAGAAUAUGUGGCUAAUGCUGUGCCUAGAGAUUUGCAAAUGAAUGAUCGUCCUUAUUUCUUAGGAAAGCUAUCAGGUGAUGAGUGCUGGUUCAUCAUAAAAGGAAAGGUGAUGAGUGCAGGGGAAGAAGUACCAGAAGAAUUGGAAGCACUAAAGGAGCAAAUUUUAAGGAGAUGCGAUGGCCUACCCUUGGCGGCAAGUUUGAUUGGUGGCUUGUUGCGUACCAACAGAAGAGAGAAGUGGCACUCCAUUGUGCAGGAGAGUCUUUUGAAUAAAUAUCAAAGCCAAAUUAAUCAAAUACUUAAGGUGAGCUUUGAUCAUUUAUCAUCUCCAUCAGUUAAGAAAUGUUUUGCAUAUUGCUCGAUUUUUCCCCAGGACACUGAAUUAGGAGAAGAUGAACUAAUUGAGCAUUGGGUUGCUGAAGGUUUUGUUCUACCAGAUCGGGAAAACACAGGAAUGAUGGAGGAAAGAGGAGGCGAGUAUCUAAGGAUUUUGUUACAAAGUUCCUUGCUGGAAAAAGUCGAAGAUGAGGGGAGCACAUACUAUAAAAUGCACGAUCUGGUGCAUGAUUUUGCAAAAUCAAUUCUCAAUCCAGAAAGCAGCAAUCAGGAUCGCUACCUUGCAUUGGACUCUUCUAAAGGUUUGGAAGAAAAUACCAUAAGGAAAAUACCAGCAUCAAUUCGCACAUUAUUUCUCCAUCUAGAGGGUGGCGUAUCUACUGACAUGAACAUGCUUUUAAGAUUCAAGUGCUUGAAUGUUCUCAAAUUGUCUGGAUAUGAUGUCAAUUUUCUACCGAGCUCCAUUGGCAAACUACUACAUUUGCGGCUGCUCGACAUUUCAUCUUCUAGAAUCAGAAGUUUGCCGGAAUCUCUUUGCAAGCUAUAUAAUUUGCAGACACUAACGAUUGAUGAUGAUGAACUUAAAGGAGGUUUUCCAAAACGGAUGAGCGAUUUGAUUAGCUUGCGACAUCUAAACUACUAUGAUUAUAAUGCAAAAUUGAAAAUGCCGAUGCAGAUGGGACGAUUGACUUGUCUUCAAACUCUAAAGUUCUUUAAUGUAAGUCAAGAGAAGGGUUGUGGCAUCGAAGAGCUUGGGACCUUGAAAUAUCUGAAAGGAUCGUUGACUAUAAGAAAUCUUGGACUAGUGAAGGGCAAAGAAGCAGCUAAACAAGCAAAAUUGUUCGAAAAGCCAGAUCUGUCUUACUUGGAGUUUAAAUGGG
rnacentral:lncRNA from 1 species